rnacentral:rRNA from 1 species
AGAAUCUUCCACAAUGGACGAAAGUCUGAUGGAGCGACGCCGCGUGGGCGAUGAAGGCCGUGAGGUUGUAAAGCCCUUUUCUUGAGGGGGAAUAAUGCAGGCAGGGAAUGGCCUGCGGAUGACGUGAAUCAAGGAAUAAGCCCCGGCUAACUACGUGCCAGCAGCCGCGGUAACACGUAGGGGGCGAGCGUUGUUCGGAAUCAUUGGGCGUAAAGGGCGCGCAGGCGGCCCGGUAAGUCUGGUGUAAAAUGGUCGUGCUCAACACGAUCAUGCGCUGGAAACUGUCGGGCUGGAGUCAACGAGGGGAUGCCGGAAUUCCAGGUGUAGGGGUGAAAUCUGUAGAUAUCUGGAAGAACACCGAUGGCGAAGGCAGGCAUCUGGCGACUGACUGACGCUGAGGCGCGAAGGUGCGGGGAGCAAACA